rnacentral:rRNA from 1 species
UACGUAGGCAGCAAGCGUUGUUCGGAAUUACUGGGCGUAAAGAGUGUGUAGGCGGUGCUCUAAGUUUGGUGUGAAAUCUCCCGGCUCAACCGGGAGGCUGCAUCGAAUACUGGAAUGCUAGAGGGUGGGAGAGGUAAGCGGAAUUCCUGGUGUAGCGGUGAAAUGCGUAGAUAUCAGGAGGAACACCAAUGGCGAAGGCAGCUCGCUGGGACGGUACUGACACUGAGACGCGAAAGCGUGGGGAGCAAACAGG